AAGUUCUUUAUUCUCCUGAUUAAGUUCGACUUCCGGCUUUAAACUUGCCUUUUCAGAUGUCUUCAUCUCACUUGGUACCAGAGGUUGCAUCUCUGUGCAGAGAUCACAGUUAUCCACUAGUCCUUUCUCUUCAAGAUCCACUAGUCCUUUCUCUUCAAGAGCCUCAGAUUGAUUACCUUCUUUAGGAAAACAACCAGAUGACAAUGGGCCAGACAGUGAUGUUGAACCAAUGGAUCCAAAUAUACUUUCUGCAAUGCUCAUGAAAAAUCCAAU
rnacentral:lncRNA from 1 species